rnacentral:lncRNA from 1 species
UAGAUGUUAACAAACUCAAAACCCCAUAUGAUGAAAACCAAAUGUAAAACCACAAACAACCACCUGAGAAAAUCAUUGCAGAAACAAAUCAAGAAUGGAUAGACAUUGCAUAUGUUGUUCCACCACAAGUGCCACAAACAAAAUCAGACAACACAGUAUAACAACCACAACAGUAGUCACAAGCCAAUAGUAACUACAACAAGAAAGAUGCCGACUUACAUGCUCGUGGUAUUACACCGGUAAAAUAACUUGCUUAGCAGGCCUAGUUCCUUGCUCUUUGAUUGUUGUGUCUUCAACUGUUUUCCAGUUUUUCUAAUGUUUGUUGAUCUCAGAUGGGAUUUUUCAUGUCUAAUGCAACUGUUUCUUUAACAAGUACCAAAAAGCCAAUUGCUAUGCAACAUGAAUAGACUAUCCAAAUGAGAAACACCACUUUCUACUAGCAAUAUAGAUACUGAAAAAGCCAGAUGUGGUCUCUUCCAUUCCCGAGAGCUACAAGGCUCAUUUCUUUUCCAUUAGUUCCCCCAAAGUUAAAUUAAUUGAAGAAAUAAAUUGAUUCCUUUCUCAAUCUUAUAUCUUUACAGCCAAAAAAAUAGAAAAAAGUUACUCUAUGAAGCAGACUCUGAAUGUAGUUUGGAUUUAAGAAUACACAAUUAAGGAAUCAACAUACUCUU